UCUGGUUGAUCCUGCCAGUAGUCAUAUGCUUGUCUCAAAGAUUAAGCCAUGCAUGUCUAAGUAUAAGCAAUUUAUACAGUGAAACUGCGAAUGGCUCAUUAAAUCAGUUAUCGUUUAUUUGAUAGUUUCUUUACUACAUGGAAUACCUGUGGUAAUUCUAGAGCUAAUACAUGCUUAAAAUCCCAACUUACGAAGGGAUGUAUUUAUUAGAUAAAAAAUCAAUGUCUUCGGACUUCUGAUGAUUCAUAAUAACUUUUCGAAUCGCAUGGCUUUAUGCUGGCGAUGGUUCAUUCAAAUUUCUGCCCUAUCAACUUUUGAUGGUAGGAUAGUGGCCUACCAUGGUUUCAACGGGUAACGGGGAAUAAGGGUUCGAUUCCGGAGAGGGAGCCUGAGAAACGGCUACCACAUCCAAGGAAGGCAGCAGGCGCGCAAAUUACCCAAUCCUAAUUCAGGGAGGUAGUGACAAUAAAUAACGAUACAGGGCUUUAUGUCUUGUAAUUGGAAUGAGUACAAUUUAAAUACCUUAACGAGGAACAAUUGGAGGGCAAGUCUGGUGCCAGCAGCCGCGGUAAUUCCAGCUCCAAUAGCGUAUAUUAAAGUUGUUGCAGUUAAAAAGCUCGUAGUUGAACUUUGGGCUUGGAGAAUCGGUCCAACUUUGUUGUGUACUGUCUUCUCCAGGUCUUUCCUUCUGGUUCUCAUUUGGGGUUUACUCCAUUUGUUGAUCCAGGAUUUUUACUUUGAAAAAAUUAGAGUGUUCAAAGCAGGCGUUUUGCUCGAAUAUAUUAGCAUGGAAUAAUAGAAUAGGACGAUUGGUUCUAUUUUGUUGGUUUCUAGGACCAUCGUAAUGAUUAAUAGGGACGGUCGGGGGCAUCAGUAUUCAGUUGUCAGAGGUGAAAUUCUUGGAUUUACUGAAGACUAACUACUGCGAAAGCAUUUGUCAAGGACGUUUUCAUUAAUCAAGACGAAAGUUAGGGGAUCGAAGAUGAUCAGAUACCGUCGUAGUCUUAACC
rnacentral:rRNA from 1 species